CCCUUAGAUGUUCUGGGCCGCACGCGCGCUACACUGAUGCAUUCAACGAGUCUAAAACCUGCUCUGAUAGGGGUGGGUAAUCUUUUGAAUGUGCAUCGUGAUUGGGAUAGAUGAUUGCAAUUUUUCAUCUUCAACGAGGAAUGCCUAGUAAACGCAAGUCAUCAGCUUGCAUUGAUUACGUCCCUGCCCUUUGUACACACCGCCCGUCGCUCCUACCGAUUGAAUGGUCCGGUGAAGCCUCGGGAUUGUGGCGAGUUUCCUUUAUUGGAAGUUUGUCGCGAGAACUUGUCUAAACCUUAUCAUUUAGAGGAAGGUGAAGUCGUAACA
rnacentral:rRNA from 1 species